rnacentral:rRNA from 1 species
UACGUAGGGUGCAAGCGUUGUCCGGAAUUACUGGGCGUAAAGAGCUCGUAGGUGGUUUGUCGCGUUGUUCGUGAAAACUCACAGCUCAACUGUGGGCGUGCGGGCGAUACGGGCAGACUAGAGUACUGCAGGGGAGACUGGAAUUCCUGGUGUAGCGGUGAAAUGACGCAGAUAUCAGGAGGAACACCGGUGGCGAAGGCGGGUCUCUGGGCCGUAACUGACGCUGAGAAGCGAAAGCAUGGGAAGCGAACAGG